GCGGAUCCGAGGUAAAGGACAGGACUUGCUCAAAGCGUGCCUCCCUCAUGAGGAAGGGAAUCCCAUGGAACUAUAAUGCUGUCCGACCAGUGCACACCCUUUUUCUUCCUCACUCUGAUCAUCCUUUGGACUGAAGGGGUGAGACGGGGGAGGAAAAACAGUGGUCUUUGUUGUGAAGCCAUAGUUCCAAACUUCAGCCUAGAGGAAUGUUUAAGUUCUGAAAAAAAGUUAACGGAGAAGGCCUGCAAUGAUGUACUUCUAGUCACAACAAGAGGGUAAGAACGUUCCAGGCGCUGGAUUGAAGAGACACAAAAGUCAGGAAGUGACCCUUUCGUCGGGAUUUCAGAGGCCGCGGACGAGAAACAAAGUCCUCUCACAACUCGGGGAACUUUGGGCCGUACCAUCCCGAGGGGCAGGGGUGGCGGAGCCGGGGUGGAGGGUGGAGGGUGGAGGGUGGAGGGUGGGGGCGGGGAGGGCCGUGGAAACUGACAGCUCGGUUCUGAACAACUCGUGAGUAAACUGAGAAUUUCCACGCUGAAAAGACUCAGUGUCCGCAGAUCUCCCGCCCUGAAGUGGAAACGGGGUUCGGCAGAUCCUCACUGCAGAGUCUGCCGAAAUAGAAGCCGGGGUGGCCCUGGCGAGAGCCGGCCUCCUGAAUCCGGGCCUGUGCGCGCCCAACCGGGCCGCGCGCCCGGGUCUCUGGAUGGCGUGCCGGCGCAGCCCAUCUGCGGCCGCGCGGCCGGGAGGAAGCCGGCCCUGGCGAUGAAUGGGGCUUUGUUCGCGGGCAGCCGAGGCUGCCCUCGGCAGGCCCAGAUCGCACAACGGAGGCUGUAUGCGAACGGAAUGGAAAUAAGCCUGCGGGCCUCCCGAAGGAGCCCCGUCCCCUUCCCUUCGCCGAGCAGAGGAAUGCUGGCAAGCCGGAAAGGAGCCCUCGCCGGGAACGCUGCUCUCGCGGCUCUGAAACCCCAUUGAGAAGAGCCCUUUGAUGCAAUUAAAGCGCAUUUCAUUGCAGGCCUGGGAGGAGGGCAGGCCCGUCCAGCUGCUUCUUCUGUCUCGAGUUUGUGUGUGCACCUUUGUGGGGCGGGCGACUUAGAGAGCAGGCGGGAACUGGAGCCCGUCUCUCGCAGACAUUCUGUAACAUCGUAAAGAAGCACCCAUAAACAGAUUGGUUUUCAUCGUGGGUGGAACCCAACUUGGACAACAUCCAGGCUGACCUGCAGGCCAGAGUUCCUGCUUUGAAAGACUCUUUGGUAAAACUCACACCACCUGCCCUGCUGUAAAGGUUUAGGCGGACAAGAAAUUGCGUUUGGAGGAGGAAGUUGUUUUUGAGGUCACUGCUCCCGGUUUUCCAUUUUCUCAGAGGUGGAGUGGGCUAUGUCGCAGGUCCAGAAUUGGUCACAGUAAAAUGCAGAUGUAAAACGAUGUAACCUGAAAACGUUGACGUUCUUGGAUGCGACUGCUAUUUUAGUGCUAGGAUUAUUCUCUAAGAUUUCCCUGUUUCCUCCAUUGAGACAACUGUGUGGCCCUGGGAAAACCCACGUAGCCUCUCUGAGUUUAAUAUUUUUCAUCUGUUAAAAUGAAUAACAAAAGGCCAGAUAACUGAUACCACAAAGCUCUGGGUGCUGGCAGGAUUCUUUCUGAAUUGGAGGUGAGCACUUGUGUAAGAUGUAUGGGCCUGAAUCUGCAGUAAAUGUCAAUGUAAAAGGAUCGCAGAGUUUUUUGUUGACUUUGCACCAAUUAUAACUAGGGCUAAUAGUCUAAUAUCUGUUUCCACUAGAAUAUACCUUCUUGAGGACAGGAACCUGUCUUUUAUUCUGGCAUCCCCUGUCCCUGGAGCAUUGCCUGACCAUCAUGAGUGGGCAACACAUAUGUGGAAUAUAAAGAAUUAAUACUAACUUGAUGCCAUUUUCUGUCACUUACAAUGUAAACAAGAAAUAGAAGUUUGGUGGGUAUUGGGGACCCUUGGCUAGGUAGAAGUUUGAAAGAAGGAACAGAAAGACAUUCUGAGAGCACAGACAUGCCGCAAAUGUUUCCUGAAGUGACCCAAGCAGAGGGGGGCACUGAGGUGGAGGAGGCAUUCUUUUCCCUGAGUGGAUGGUUAAUACUGGCAAGCUUGAAUCACAUUUUAUAUUUGCAAGGAGUGUGCAUAGCUCAUUCUUCAUUCUUUGAACAUCCCAUGGAUGUGGGACAGUAAGACACAGUGGCUAUGUAUGAUGGGUAUCAUGUUUCUUAUAUAUUGAUCUAAAUAUAUCUCCAUGAUUCUUGUUAUUUGGGGCUUUGUUUAGACUUGUAACUUGAGUGUUUUCCUCUGAGGGCUUGAAUACCUGACUUUUUCACCAUUCAAUAAAAACCAGUAAAUUUUUUUCACCAAAAUGAGGAUGCUCAUAAAUGAGACAGUAGAGAACAUCCUAUUUCAAAUACAUCUCCAGGUAUCUGCAGGAAACACCACUGAAGUGACAUUGAUAUAAACAAAUGGAUGUUCCUCUCAACUCCCUCAGCUUCCUUAACACACACACACAGAUUUAGGUGUUGAGAAAUAUAAAGUCCAGUUUAAAGAUGUUUGUGUCAGGGUACAGUAUGCCCAACAUACAACUGUCCUCAACUUUGUUUCUUAUCAUGUGGCCCUGCUUGGCUGUUAUUCUGAGUUGCAUUUUUGUCUUGAUGUGGCUGUCAUCCCUGAGAGUUGAAACUCUUCAAAUUGUUCCUUCCUGUCUAUUUAGCCAGGUGGGUGCUGUUGUUGUUGUUCGGUCACUAAGUCAUGUCCCACUUGGUGACCCCAUGGAUGGUAGUAUGCCAGGCUCCUCUGUCCUCUAUC